AGAGAAGUUGCUUUGGCUUCAGGCCCAUGCUGUGGGGCUUUGGCUUUCAGCCCUGGGCCCAAGUGAUCUAAUGCUGGCCAUGCUUGGCAGACCCUCUGAAACUGGCUUCUGGCCCCCUAAAUGGUCCCUGGACCUUGGUUGAGAACCACUGGUUUAGAAAGCAUGUUAAA